rnacentral:rRNA from 1 species
ACGAACGCUGGCGGCGUGCUUAACACAUGCAAGUCGCACGGAAAGGCCCUGCUUUUGUGGGGUGCUCGAGUGGCGAACGGGUGAGUAACACGUGAGUAACCUGCCCUUGACUUUGGGAUAACUUCAGGAAACUGGGGCUAAUACCGGAUAGGAGCUCCUGCUGCAUGGUGGGGGUUGGAAAGUUUCGGCGGUUGGGGAUGGACUCGCGGCUUAUCAGCUUGUUGGUGGGGUAGUGGCUUACCAGGGCUUUGACGGGUAGCCGGCCUGAGAGGGUGACCGGCCACAUUGGGACUGAGAUACGGCCCAGACUCCUACGGGAGGCAGCAGUGGGGAAUAUUGCACAAUGGGCGGAAGCCUGAUGCAGCAACGCCGCGUGCGGGAUGACGGCCUUCGGGUUGUAAACCGCUUUCGCCUGUGACGAAGCGUGAGUGACGGUAAUGGGUAAAGAAGCACCGGCUAACUACGUG